AGACAGCAAAGACAGUAGUAAGCCCUGAUAAGGAAGAAGAUUCGAUUCUAAGGCAUUUAUUCUAGCUGAUAAAGUAGUUGAUUCUAGAGUAUGGUUCUGAGGGAUUAGGAAGAGCUAGGAGGAUUUAGCCCAGAGGAGAAGAGAGGAUCCGAUUCUCGCUUUGCCCCCGAAAGAGUCAGAAUCCAUUCUGACUUCCAGGCCAUUUCAUUCAACUGAAGCUAAUUCUACUGCUACUGUAAGAGUUCCGGGUGAAGUUCAUAGAAAGAGGUUUUCAUAGGACCUAAUUCCAAGGUAUUAGGAAGAUCUUCUACGGGACUCAGAAAUCCGUAGUUGUAGUUUCUAUACGUCAAAAUCCAAUCUCGCUUCCAUUCAUCAUCCAUUCAGAGGAAAAAUUCUUGAAUAAUAGGCUAAGAAUAGUCUUAUAAGUCCUUUUCCGUUAUGUAUGCUCCAGUAAGAAAGUCCCUUACUUCGGCUAGUAAGGAGUUUCAUUUUAGGUAAGCAAGCUGCAGCGCGAGUACCCUUCUUUUUACUUUUGCUGCAAUAGAGGAGAUUUCCAUUGGACUAGUUAAAAGACUUAGAUAACACACCGGGUUUAUAUAAGAAAAAGUUCACGUAGAGAAAAGAGAUUAGACUAGUCAUUGCACUAGUAGCGUUUACGAGCCUCCCGCUUAUUUAUUAUCUUUCUUUGAUUCCAGAUCAAAGAUUAAUUUCAUCUAUAUUAUAUUAAUUUCUAUCUAGAUUAUAUAUCUAUAUUAUAUUAAGUAGAUUGUAGAUUUCGAUGUAUAUCUAUCAGAUCAUGGCUUCAUGUACCAAAUAUUUCAAUAUUAUUGCAUCCGGUAUUUUUG
rnacentral:lncRNA from 1 species